UACUAGCAUUGGUGUUCACUGAAG
rnacentral:piRNA from 1 species